AUAAUCCAGAAGCAAGGCCGCCCUAAGGAAUCACCGGACCCGUCCCUCUCACCUCCUUCAAGCUGCAGCUCCGAAUCCCAACGUGUGCGGAACUGAAAGGUGGCCGACACGUCUCCGGAGGGGAGCGGAGUGAGGACUAGUUCCUCCCGCAGGCUAUCCCGCUCUGGCUCUGCCCUGCUCUGGCGGCCCAGGCCCAAGAGCAGAGCCAACAGCAGGUGCAGCACGAGCGGCGCCGCCAUGGCCAUGGCCGCGGCCGCCUCCGCCGUGGCCGCCACGCAGAACCCGCCCCCAAGGGCCCAUGUCCAAUAGCGAGAAUGAAUGGCGGCGACUUCCGGGAGAGGCGCCGGGUACCCGGAUUGGGUUACCAGGGCGACGCCUGGCAGGAGGUGGGGCGCGCUUCACUUCGCGGAGGCUGCCGGGAGAGAAAACCGACGGAGAGCGGAGUCUCUCCUCGAUUGGGCGCAGUCGUCGUUGUCAGGGUCUUCGUGCGUCGAGCUCCCACUUUUACCCGGGUCCCAGUCUAUAAAAUGAGACCCAGCUUUUUUUUUUAAAAUAUGAAGACCUUCCUUUUAACAAAAAUUUCCCCAAUGAGAGCAUUAAUAUCGCUGUGGAUAUCAACACCCACCUUUUUCAUCGACCACCUCCUGUAAAAAGCUUCCUCCGUUGGUGCUUCCGCUCCCUCUCCUCUCCCUCUAACAAACUCUUUACAAUCAGCCAUCUGACCGUACCCCCCAAUCCGUCAGCCAACACCAAUGAGCAUUUAGUAAUUGCCCGCCGCACGCCAGGAAUGGGGGAAAAAAAGAUGCAGAGGUGACAUUCUAACAAGGAAGACAAGAAGUACAUCUUUGUGUAUGUGUGUGAUGUGUGUGUAUGUAUACACGAAUAGACAACAUACACGCGUACAUAUAUGGUAAUAUACAUGUGUAUGCGUAGUCAUGUGCAUGUAGGAAGUGUCACGUCAGGAUGGAGAAGGGGGAGACCAGUUCUGGUCCGUGUGCAGACCUCAUCAGCUUGCUAAGAUGUUGUCUCUGAAUGGAGGACACUAGGGAGCAGCUUCUGGAAGCACUGUGAUGACGUAUGAGAGAAGUGCUUUGGACAGACUGGACCAUUCGGUGCAAGGAAAGGAGUCUACAAUCUUGGGAGUUUCAGACUCCAGGAGAGCAAGCCACAGGGAAUCCAGGCAAGUUUUGCAGCCAGUACAGCAUCAGCGCUCCAGCAAGCAAGGGGUUACCUUCAGGACUCCAUUCAGCCCAGCAAAAGUACCCAUCUGGCAGCGAUGCCCUCUCUGAAGAUGAACUUGGUGGGAUCAGUGCUAUGUAGGGACUGAGUUCAGUUUUGAGCCUAAUUUCCAUUUCUUUCUUUUUCCCACCGCCUCCACUGAAAUGGAAUAGUGGGGAUUAUGACACAUGAUGUUGAGGCAAAAUGCUUUUACAUUUGUUUUUGUUGUGUCUUUUGGGGUAAGUAUCUCUUUGUAAAAGUUAUCCCAUGCUAAGUGGUUAAGUGCCAGUCACUGUCCUCCUAAUAAAUGGGAGAAAUGGGUGGGAACUUGAACCAACAGCACCCUCCAGGGUGCUCUAGAAUCCUGAGGGGGAAGAUAUUAUAACCUGGACUUGAGCAGAGCCAGAGCAUUCUUGUUACCUUUGUUAUUCUGAACCUGACAGACGUUAACAAAUAUGAACAUUUUUAUAUGAGAAUGUAACAUGGUACAUGUGUAGACAUUCUCUGUGUAGUUUGGGUUCACUGCAUGAGAGCUUUGGAACAGUUUCUGGACAUGAAGUAACCAAUUACUGAAGGGACUUGGUGUUUUAAUAUUAUUUGAUAGACCUUUGGUUGUCACCCACCCCCACGGUAGUGGUGGGGGGCAGGGCAUGGUGGUAUGGUUCUGCAUCUAUUAGAAGAAUUCUGUUUCCAUCUGGUGGUUUCUGAUCUGUAGCUCUCCAGGUGGUAAAACAUGACUUCAGUGAGGGGUCCUUCUCUACCCUGGUAUUAGGGUAAUCCCAUCUACAUUGGCAACUGAUGCCAAGUACCACAACUGUGCAAGCUUGCCCCUGGGAACCUGGCUUCUCUUACCUCUUUGAUGUUUGUUCCUUCCUGAUUUUGAAUACUCUGAGAUAAAUGAGAUGGAUUUGUCCUAAGGACCUUGAAAAUUUGUAAGUUCUACUGGUCUGGGAGUUGGCAGCAGCAUUAUCCUCCCCAGCCCAACCUCCCAGCGAUGGUGUCUGAUGACAGGGAUAAGGUCUGCACUGGGGAAGGCCACUACCCACAGGUCCAAGCUGAGGUGAAUGGAAAUACAGAUAGGUUGUGAUUAAUGCACAUUAUGAAAUGGUACUAGGUCUCAUUUAAUGCUAAUCAGAAUUCAAUUAAUAUGACAAGUGUGAGCUUAUCAGUUUACACUUUCCCAUCAUUGGGUGUGGAUGUAAUAUACUGAUGCAUACCAUAUUAACCAACAGUUGUGUUGAUUUUCUUAAAUACCUUCACAUAAAGGACAAAAGGAGGAAUGUUUCAGAUGGAAACAAUGCCAACACACGAAAGAAGAAGCUCAUUAUUACAUUAGAACAAAAUCUUGAUGUAAUUGAACAACAUGAACAUGGUCAUAAAUCACUUUAAAGCAGAACAAGAUGUCUGAGUGCCUGAAUCUAUCACACAAAAUAUUAUAAAUCACACAGGAAAAUAAAAGACAAAGGCAAAUCCAUGUCAGCUUUUUGGUUUGCAAACAGCUAUGGGGAAUAGAAGUGUUACAACAGUAGUUUUGAAGAUUGCAGUCAAAAACACAUUCCUCUUAGUAGAGCAGCCAUUCAGACAAAAGCUUCAAAUUUAUUUAAGGCAAUAAAAGAAACUAGAAAUGAAGUGGAUAGUGAAGAACUCCUACUGUAAGCAUUGGUUGGUUGGACUGAUUUAAAAAUUGAGUCCAUUUGCAUACCAUUAAAAUUAUUGUAGAAGUGGCCUGUGAAGAUUAGGACGUGGAAGCUAAAUAUUUUAAUAUUUUAAAGACUUUAAAGGAUUUUAAAAUAUUUUAAAAUAAUCGAAGGCAGAUAAACCGAUCAACAAAUUUUUCAUGUGGAUAAAAUGUGCUUAUUCUGCAAAAGGAUGCCUUCCAGAACUUAAAUUUGUAACGAAGAAAAAACUCAACCUGGAUUUGAAGUACCUGUGGUUCGCCUAACAUUUUUAUUGAGAUGCAGUACAAAAGGGGAAUUUAAAUGAUAACCAAUACUUGUUAACUUGAGAAACUUACAACCAUUAAUGGCUUCCAGUUCUUUGGUAGUCAAUUAAGAAAGCAUGGGUGACGAAAGCUGCUUUCAAAGACUAGUUUUCAGGUUAUUUUAGUCCAACUUUUGAAAGAUACUUCAGGGACAACAAUAUCCUAUUUAAAGCAUUACUGAUUUUAGAUAGUACAGCCAUCCAACUAUACUUGGUUUGUUGUGGGAGAAAGUGAGCGUGCAAAUUUGCCAAAAUGUGGAUAAAGAUCAUUGCAUCUACCUGUACAUAUAUGAAGAUUUAAAGGUAGAGAAGAUAGUUCAG